UUAGGUAAAGCUAGUCAUCUUUCGGUUUUGCUGUGCCAGCAUCACAUUGCAAUAUAGGAUUAGUGUUGAAGUUAAAGGUACAUGCCGUGGCAUUUAAUUCAGGAGGAGAGUGGAGAGUGGAUUAAAUGCUCUCUCCCAGCACAGGCGCACUGUGGGUGAGUCCCGUACCUGCGGGAAAGCAGCGCUCAGACUGCCUCACUGCUUAACUCUCCGCAGGCUGGCACAUUUCACUAUCUGAGCACCUUUCUUCACAGUAUCCACAGUAUCGGGCUACAGUCGAAGGAAGAGAUGGGAUGACAGGGGCGGAACGAAAGGCGGGAGGGAAUAUUAAUGAGGUGAAAUGUUGAGGGAAACCAGAGAGGCAAAAAAAAAAAGAGGAUGGACAGAAUAAAUAAAAGUCAGAGGUGAAGAAAGAGGGAAACAAGGGGGGAACAAAGAAAUGAUAUACAUAUAUAUAAAUAUAUCGACAGGCAGGCAAGGACAGAAGUGAAGGCUGGCAACUGUAGAUAAGAACUAUACACUAUGUGGACUGGAGAGAUGAAAGGUGGAGCGACAGAGCACACAGUCUGAAUUGAAGUACCACAGACUUUAAAUGUCACACAUUCAUGAAGCAUUUGUCAACAAACAGGACAAACGUGUGAGGUACCUUAAGGAUGACUCUCCUGCGAACCACCCUGGUGGUGACGUUCUCCUCUUCGUCAGCCACGCCCUCCCCCUCGCCAAGCUCAUGGUCAAGCUGUACGUGGACGUAGGUGAGGAUCGAGCGCACGGAGCCGCUGGCUAUGUGUAGAAUGUUCUGACAGCUGAUGACCAGAAAGGCCAACAGUACCAAACUGAAGAGGAGCUCCGUCACCAGAGCCCACAUUGCCCCGCUUGGAUCAGCCACAGAACCGCGCAGCCCCUUGACAUGCACCCCGCAGAGCAGCUCGUCAAACCUUCAGCGUCUU